GAUUUAUUUAAUCCGUUUAAUUUAAUUAUGCAUGUGAAUUUGUUCAUUAAGAUCCUAUGAAAAUGCAGUGCCUAUAUGUCCCCUAGGAUGUCUGUUCAGACACUAUAUCCAUUAGGCAUCUUUCACUUUCUGCUAAUGAUCAGUGACACAGAGCCUUAAAGUCAUUAGUUUUCAGUAAAGGCUUUUACUUGUUUUGCUGCCUUUCAUUAAACAUUUCACAUAGCAUCUGCAGUGUUGUGUGGGUUGUUCACAAGUAUAGUG